rnacentral:rRNA from 1 species
UACAGAGGGAGCAAGCGUUAAUCUGAAUUACUGGGCGUAAAGCGCACGUAGGCGGUUGUUUAAGUUGGAUGUGAAAGCCCCGGGCUCAACCUGGGAAUUGCAUUCAAAACUGGACAGCUAGAGGGUGUGAGAGGGGGGUAGAAUUCCAAGUGUAGCGGUGAAAUGCGUAUAGAUCUGGAGGAAUACCAGUGUCGAAGGCGGCCCCCUGGCACAACACUGACGCUCAGUUGCGAAAGCGUGGGGAGCAAACAGG